CUAAAUCCUGACCCAGACGGUCUUCUCCCGGCAAAGGGAGGAGCCAAGAGGGAAUGCGGUGCGGGCCAAAACCCAAAUCCGCGGCUGUCCCCGCAACUGUAAGCGACGAGCCCCGGCCGAAAACCACUGGGAUAUUCCCGGGAAGGCGGCAUCUGAGGCGACGACCCGCGAGCCAGGAGACCUGCCGUCUGAGACUAAAAGUAU
rnacentral:ncRNA from 1 species